GAUGAACGCUGGCGGCAGGCUUAAUACAUGCAAGUUGAACGGUAACAUAUUGUAGCAAUACGAUGAUGACGAGUGGCGUACGGGUGCGUAACACGUGUGCAACCUACCUUAUACCGGAACAUAACGUCGAGAAAUUGACGCUAACAUUCCAUAACAUUGCUUGAAGGCAUCUUUUAGCAAUUAAAACUCCGGUGGUAUAAGAUGGGCACGCGUUCCAUUAGCUUGUUGGUAAGGUAACGGCUUACCAAGGCUACGAUGGAUAGGGGUUCUGAGAGGAUUAUCCCCCACACUGGAACUGAGACACGGUCCAGACUCCUACGGGAGGCAGCAGUAAGGAAUAUUGGGCAAUGGAGGCAACUCUGACCCAGCCAUGCCGCGUGCAGGAAGACGGCCCUACGGGUUGUAAACUGCUUUUAAAGGGAGUAAGGUUAGUUACGUGUAACUAAUUGCAAGUACCUAUAGAAUAAGGAUCGGCUAACUCCGUGCCAGCAGCCGCGGUAAACUGUCUACG
rnacentral:rRNA from 1 species